UAAGGAAUAUUGGUCAAUGGACGGAAGUCUGAACCAGCCAUGCCGCGUGCAGGAAGACGGCCCUAUGGGUUGUAAACUGCUUUUGUACCGGAAUAAACCUACUUACGUGUAAGUAGCUGAAUGUACGGUAAGAAUAAGGAUCGGCUAACUCCGUGCCAGCAGCCGCGGUAAUACGGAGGAUCCGAGCGUUAUCCGGAUUUAUUGGGUUUAAAGGGUGCGUAGGCGGCCUUGUAAGUCAGGGGUGAAAGACGGCAGCUCAACUGUCGCAGUGCCUUUGAUACUGCAGGGCUUGAAUACACUUGAAGUAGGCGGAAUGUGACAAGUAGCGGUGAAAUGCAUAGAUAUGUCACAGAACACCGAUUGCGAAGGCAGCUUACUAAAGUGUGAUUGACGCUGAGGC
rnacentral:rRNA from 1 species